rnacentral:rRNA from 1 species
GAUGAACGCUGGCGGCGUGCUUAACACAUGCAAGUCGAACGGUGAAAGAGAGCUUGCUCUCUGGAUCAGUGGCGAACGGGUGAGUAACACGUGAGCAAUCUGCCCCUGACUCUGGGAUAAGCGCUGGAAACGGCGUCUAAUACCGGAUACGAGCUGCGAAGGCAUCUUCAGCAGCUGGAAAGAACUUCGGUCAGGGAUGAGCUCGCGGCCUAUCAGCUAGUUGGUGAGGUAACGGCUCACCAAGGCGUCGACGGGUAGCCGGCCUGGGAGGGUGACCGGCCACACUGGGACUGAGACACGGCCCAGACUCCUUCGGGGGGCAGCAGUGGGGAAUAAUUCACAAUGGGCGAAAGCCUGAUGCAGCAACGCCGCGUGAGGGAAGACGGCCUUCGGGUUGUAAACCUCUUUUAGCAGGGAAGAAGCGAAAGUGACGGUACCUGCAGAAAAAGCACCGGCUAACUACGUG